UCUCUCACAAUUUCAUCAUGCUUCAGAAGCAUAAUGAAAUCAAAAUGAGUCAUUGUUUGACUCUUCUUGAUUUCAUAAUGCAUUGAUGUGGAACUUUAUCUGGGAUCCAUUACUUGAACUACUGCUGGUGUCUUCAGUGAAUCAUGGAAAACUCUUCAGGUGAGAAAGAUUAAAGUUUAUGUGCGUAUAUAUUGUAGAAACCCAGGCACAAGUCGGUGGAUGGAGACGUUAGUAGGAGACUUAGAACAUUAGCAAUAACAUAAGAUAAUUGAAGUCACCAGCUUGGCCGAGUGGUUAUAAGUCGCCAGACUUAAGUUUUCGUCUCUUAAUAGAGACGUGAGUGCGAUUCUCACACCUGGUAGCUUUCUUGUCCUUAUCAAAUGUGGUAUUCAUUUAAUAGAGUUACCUUAAAUCAUAAGAUAAAUAGAAGUUUAUGAUUGAAAUAUGGAACGAGAAAGGUGAGGUUAGACCGUAAUCUCCGUAUUCCAUUUGUACACACUGAGCAAGAGAUGACAUGGUCAUGAGCGAGAUGUUACCUUUUUUCAAGUGCAUCUGUGUUUAACAUCUGCAGGAAUUUAAAAAAAAAUUGUCCAUAAACAGCUUAAUUAUGUGUUACACGUUAUUAAACGUCCGCUCGGGAUCGUAUCGACCCCUCUCAACAUGCGCAGCAUUUACCUCUUCAUGAUAAUUGGUUCUGUGUGGCCUGUUUCUAAAUGGAUGGUGCGAAGAGGAAGUUGGCGAAAUCGAUCAGAUAAUCAACGCUUAUCGCGUUCCCAAUAAUAGAAUUUAUCCCCACCUGGCAUAUGCUUUUUUUCUUAAUUCAUUUUGCUGUAAUGAUCACGCCAUAUUUGAAAACAUUAGGUCAACUUUACCCAAAGAAACCGAUUACGACAAGAAACAUUUAUGUGCUCUGGUACUUUAGUUGGGCCAAGAAAAGUUUUAACAGCCGCUUCGUACUUUGAACGGUUUGAUUCGAAUACAUUUCAGCCAACCUUUUUCACACCUGUCACACGGAUGAACAAAGAAAUUCUAGGCGGUCCGUACACAAUAUGGCGGAACGUUAUCCGUGUCGUUAAGCAUAUCCGCAGUACAAUCCAGCAAACGCCGGUAAUCACGACAAUAUUGCCGUUGUUACACUGGACUUAGAAGUGCGCGCCAGCUCUGUCACUCCCGUCCAGUUGGGGUACACAUUAUUCCCGAGAAUCGGAAUCUCCUCAUAAUUUGGCUCAAGCGGUUAAACAAAGCAUUGAGUUUGAGACAACAGUUUGCCAUCUUCGAAGACAAGCACCUUUGAUUUGUCAUUUAGGGUGCAUUUUAUCGUCAACUUUAUGGCAACAGCGCUCGAUUUUUAACUCGGUUUCCUAAGUCAGAGAAAAUAUUUUAACGGAGUGACCACGUUGCUCAGUCUCUCCAACUGCAUUCAACUGUUCAUAUUGCUUAGUCUAUCAUAUUGCAAGCCUAUUAAUUGCCUUUAAUUCAGGUAAUUCAUCCAUAUUGUCUGGGAAGGCAAUAGUUGGUAAGUCAUUAACCAUUACAAAAUGGAAAAAUUUUCUUUUUGUAUUAAGCAAUAUGGCAUUGCAGUCCAAGUGUCCAGAUUUGGUGAUUCUAUUCAACAGCAUUCCAUUGUCCACCUUGCUGAGCUUAUCAAGUACAAUCCUGCUUAUUGCCUUGGCAUCAGUUAUUUCAUACACAUUGUCUGAAGGCAGUAGUUGGUUAGUCAUUGGCCAUUACGUUGAACUUGAAAUGGUUCAUUUACUGGAAUUGUCGAGUGCCAUGUACACAUUUUUUUAAAACAGAACUUAGUCUUCACUUAAGUGAGCACGGAAUGGCACAAUGAAUUGGUCGGUCAAAAUUAUCAUGUAGUACACUAAUUAAAUCAUAACGUUUCAAGCUGACAUCCAAUUCUCACUUUGUAGGUAUUCAAAUCACCAUCUGCUACUGAUUUAAAUUUGAAUUCCAUCAGUGUUAGGGAAUUAGAUCAGGAUUUAUCGAUAUUUAUUGCUGACAAUCAUAUACACACAAAACGGUUGAAUACGUCAAGGUUGACAUGCCUCCCAUAUAGUACAUUUCUACCGUUGGAUGUCCGAAUCAUGGCAGAACAUUCGUUAGAUAUCUAUGUUCUCAAUGGGUAGUUCCAGGGAUGUCCGUCGGCUAGUCGCCUUGGAAGUGCAAUGGAUGUGCGAAAAUUAUAUUAUACGG
rnacentral:tRNA from 1 species